rnacentral:SRP_RNA from 1 species
GCCGGGUGUGGUGGUGCACGCCUGUAGCCCCAGCUACUUGGGAGGCUGAGGCAGAAGAAUCGCUUGAACCCAGGAGGCAGAGGUUGCAGUGAGCCGAGAUCACGCCACUGCACUCCAGCCUGGGUGACAGAGUGAGACUCUGUCUCAA